rnacentral:rRNA from 1 species
GACGAACGCUGGCGGCGUGCUUAACACAUGCAAGUCGAGCGCUGAAGCCUUCGGGUGGAUGAGCGGCGAACGGGUGAGUAACACGUGGGUGACCUGCCCUCAGCUCUGGGAUAAGCCUGGGAAACUGGGUCUAAUACCGGAUAUGACCUUCGGCCGCAUGGUUGUUGGUGGAAAGUUUUUCGGCUGAGGAUGGGCCCGCGGCCUAUCAGCUUGUUGGUGGGGUGAUGGCCUACCAAGGCGACGACGGGUAGCCGGCCUGAGAGGGCGACCGGCCACACUGGGACUGAGACACGGCCCAGACUCCUACGGGAGGCAGCAGUGGGGAAUAUUGCGCAAUGGGCGAAAGCCUGACGCAGCGACGCCGCGUGGGGGAUGACGGCCUUCGGGUUGUAAACCUCUUUCGCCAGGGACGAAGCUAACGUGACGGUACCUGGAUAAGAAGCACCGGCCAACUACGUGCCAGCAGCCGCCGUAACAC